rnacentral:rRNA from 1 species
UGCAGUCGACGAGACGUGUCCUUCGGGACGCAAGUACAGUGGCGCACGUGGCGUAAGUAACGCGUAGGCAACCUGCCCUCGAGUGGGGAAUAACCAUCGGAAACGGUGGCUAAUACCGCAUGCUGUCGCACAUUGCAUGAUGUGCGAUGAAAGUCUUCGGACGCUCAAGGAUGGGCCUGCGUCGGAUUAGCUUGUAGGUAGGGUAACGGCCUACCUAGGCUACGAUCCGUAGCUGGUCUGAGAGGACGAUCAGCCACACUGGCACUGAGACACGGGCCAGACUUCUACGGAAGGCAGCAGUAGGGAAUAUUGGGCAAUGGGCGAAAGCCUGACCCAGCCACGCCGCGUGGAGGAAGACACCCCUAUGGGGCGUAAACUCCUUUUAUAUGGGAAGAACACCUCCCUCAGGGAGGCUUGACGGUACCGUAUGAAUAAGCACCGGCUAACUCCGUGCCAGCAGCCGCGGUAAUACGGAGGGUGCAAGCGUUGUCCGGAUUCACUGGGUGUAAAGGGUGUGUAGGCGGGACGGUAUGUCAGAGGUGAAAGCCCACGGCUCAACCGUGGAACUGCCUUUGAAACUGCCGUUCUUGAGUCUCGGAGAGGUCGCUGGAAUUCGUGGUGUAGCGGUGAAAUGCGUAGAUAUCACGAGGAACACCAGAGGCGUAGGCGGGCGACUGGACGAGUACUGACGCUGAGGCACGAAAGCGUGGGAGCAAACAGAUUAGAUACCCUGGUAGUCUACGCCGUAACGAUGGAUGCUCGGUGUUGGAUCUCAUGUGGGUCAGCGCAGGCUAACGCGUUAAGCAUUCCACUGGAGUACGCU